UGGCUCAGGAUGAACGCUAGCGGCAGGCCUAAUACAUGCAAGUCGAGGGGCAGCGGAAGUAGCAAUACUUGCCGGCGACCGGCGCACGGGUGCGUAACACGUAUGUAAUCUACCUAUUACUGGGGAAUAGCCCGGAGAAAUUCGGAUUAAUACCCCAUAACAUCAUGAGGAGGCAUCUUCUUAUGAUUAAAGUUCCGACGGUAAUAGAUGAGCAUGCGCGACAUUAGCUAGUUGGUGAGGUAACGGCUCACCAAGGCGACGAUGUCUAGGGGUACUGAGAGGUUACACCCCCACACUGGUACUGAGACACGGACCAGACUCCUACGGGAGGCAGCAGUAAGGAAUAUUGGGACAAUGGGACGCAAGUCUGAUCCAGCCAUGCCGCGUGCAGGGAUGAAUGCCCUAUGGGGUUGUAAAACUGCUUUUGUACGGGGAAUAACCCUCUACGUGUAGGGGGCUGAAUGUACCGUAAGAAUAAGGGGUCGGCUAAACUUCGUGCCAGCCGCCGC
rnacentral:rRNA from 1 species